UACGUAGGGUGCAAGCGUUGUCCGGAAUUAUUGGGCGUAAAGAGCUCGUAGGCGGUUUGUCGCGUCUGCUGUGAAAACGCGAGGCUCAACCUCGCGCCUGCAGUGGGGACGGGCAGACUAGAGUGCGGUAGGGGAGAUUGGAAUUCCUGGUGUAGCGGUGGAAUGCGCAGAUAUCAGGAGGAACACCGAGGGCGAAGGCAGAGCGCUGGGCCGUAACUGACGCUGAGGAGCGAAAGCGUGGGGAGAGAACAGG
rnacentral:rRNA from 1 species